UACAGAGGUGGCAAGCGUUGUUCGGAAUUACUGGGCGUAAAGGGCGCGUAGGCGGUCUUUUAUGUCUUGUGUGAAAUCCCUCGGCUCAACUGAGGAACUGCACGGGAUACUGGAAGACUUGAGUUCGGGAGAGGGAAGCGGAAUUCCGGGUGUAGCGGUGAAAUGCGUAGAUAUCCGGAGGAACACCGGUGGCGAAGGCGGCUUCCUGGACCGACACUGACGCUGAGGCGCGAAAGCUAGGGGAGCAAACGGG
rnacentral:rRNA from 1 species